rnacentral:rRNA from 1 species
GCGUAGAAUCUGCCUUCAGGUUCGGGACAACCACUGGAAACGGUGGCUAAUACCGAAUGUGCAGCAAUGUGAAAAAUUUAUUGCCUGAAGAUGAGCUCGCGUCUGAUUAGCUAGUAGGUGUGGUAAGAGCGCACCUAGGCGACGAUCAGUAGCUGGUCUGAGAGGAUGAUCAGCCACACUGGGACUGAGACACGGCCCAGACUCCUACGGGAGGCAGCAGUGGGGAAUUUUCCGCAAUGGGCGAAAGCCUGACGGAGCAAUACCGCGUGAGGGAGGAAGGCUCUUGGGUUGUAAACCUCUUUUCUCAAGGAAGAAAAAAAUGACGGUACUUGAGGAAUAAGCAUCGGCUAACUCCGUGCCAGCAGCCGCGGUAAUACGGAGGAUGCAAGCGUUAUCCGGAAUGAUUGGGCGUAAAGCGUCCGCAGGUGGCUAUGUAAGUCUGCUGUUAAAGAGUCUGGCUCAACCAGAUAAAGGCAGUGGAAACUACAUGGCUAGAGUGCGUUCGGGGCAGAGGGAAUUCCUGGUGUAGCGGUGAAAUGCGUAGAGAUCAGGAAGAACACCGGUGGCGAAAGCGCUCUGCUAGGCCGCAACUGACACUGAGGGACGAAAGCUAGGGGAGCGAAAGGGAUUANAUACCCCCUGUANUC